UUUAGCAUAUCAAUAAGCGGAGGAAGAGAAACUAACCAGGAUUCCCCUAGUAACGGCGAGCGAACCGGGAAGAGCCCAGCAUGGUAAUCUGCCGCCUUGCGCGGCCGAAUUGUGGUCUGGAGGGCGCGGCUCCGCGAGCCCCCGUCGCCAAGUCCGCUGGAAAGCGGCGUCGCAGAGGGUGACAACCCCGUGGGCGUCGGGUCGGCUCGCUCCUCGAGCCCGUUCCGCAGAGUCGGGUUGCUUGGGAAUGCAGCUCUAAGUCGGUGGUAAAUCCCAUCGAAGGCUAAAUACUGGCGGGAGACCGAUAGCGAACAAGUACCGUGAGGGAAAGAUGAAAAGAACUUUGAAAAGAGAGUGAAAAAGUGCCUGAACUUGUUGAGAGGGAAGCGAUGGGGAUUCGUUGCUCCUUCCCCGGCCGAUGCCUCGGCGAUGCCGUGGUUCGACGCCGGUGGAGAGGUCAGCGUGGGUUCGGCUCCCAGGACAACCCCGGGCGGGCGCGUCCCCCCGGGUCUCCGCGGGUCCGGACCGAGGAUCGAGAGGGCGGCCUCUGGCCGGGGCUUUNGCCUCCUGCCCUUCUUCNGACCGCUAGCCNGAGACGACUUCCUCUCNCCCGUCUUGAAAGCAAAUAACUCAGG
rnacentral:rRNA from 1 species